rnacentral:rRNA from 1 species
UACGUAGGGUGCAAGCGUUAAUCGGAAUCACUGGGCGUAAAGCGUCUGUAGGUGGUUUAAUAAGUCAACUGUUAAAUCUUGAGGCUCAACCUCAAAAUCGCAGUCGAAACUAUUAGGCUAGAGUAUAGGUAGGGGUAAAGGGAAUUUCCAGUGGAGCGGUGAAAUGCGUAGAGAUUGGAAAGAACACCGAUGGCGAAGGCACUUUACUGGGCUAUUACUAACACUCAGAGACGAAGCUAGGGUAGCAAAUGGG